AUAUCUACCACUUGCCCACACCACCACCCCAGCUAUUCAUAGCCAGCCACUUGGUGGACCCUGAAUGGGCCCAGCUCAGCUCCUCGUCUUUGUUGCUCUUUCUCACUCUGUCCCCUCACGGAGAUCUCCCGCCCCUCCCUUCGCUCUGCCCGGUGGCUGCUAACUCUCCAGGCUUGGAGUCAUCAUCAUCAUCUCUUGCCUGUCACUGCGAGGGCCUCCUACACCACUGGAUGACACUCCUUUGGGGGCGAGAAUGCAUGCGGUGUGGUUUUGUAACUGAGGGAGCACACAGGAGGCAGGCUUUCGGUGUGUUUUGUUAAACUGCCGAAUGAAUGGUGUGAGAUCCGUCGCUCAUCUUGCAAGGCACCUUGUCUCCAUGGCUACCAAACCCCACCCAGCCUGACCACUCUAUAAAAUCUACCCAUGUUACCCAGACGACGUGCUGCAGAUGCAAGGGGGGACUUGGUACUCUCAGUAAAAGUGAGCUUCAGGUCCUUGAACGGCAUCUCAGACAAGCAUCAUGGACAUCGUCAAUAUACCAGAGGUGCUAUCCACAGCAGAACUAAUGGGAGACCAAUCAUGUGCUGCCCAGCAGUGGCGACUUUAAGAGGACCAAGAGCUAGCGAUGGUAGAGGAUUAAUUUAGGAUUUUCUCAGCAAUACCGGGACACAUGAAACAACAUCUCCAUUUGUUUGAUGACCACAUUGUCAUCUCUAGUUAAGUCACAGCUCCACAGAGGUGACUCUGUCAUUGCCCUGUGGCCUCUGCACCAGCCAGUAGAGAAGCCUUUAGUCACCUGUGACCACCAGCAUGUGAGACACCGCUAAGGAGACCAAACAUCUGAAUUUACCCUGUUUUAGACGGUGUCUUGCCAUAUAGCCCAGGCUGACCUGGAACCUGUCAUACUCCUGCUUCAGCCUCUCUCAGCUAGAAUUACAGAUAUGCACCAUGCGCAUAGGCUGAAGAACUGGAAUUGUAAUGAAAUUGAGACACGCUAUAAAUGCAAAACAUGCACCAGAGUUCCAAGAUUGUAGAAAGAAAAAAAAUGCAAA